CAAGAGAGAACCAGAAAGCUCCCAGUCAGCACUGCACUGCAAUCAGUGAUUAAUUUGUUGCAAGACACUUUGCUUGCUGUACAUGACAGAGCUCAUAAAUUCUCAUUUUUAUUGAUGUUGUCCUGGCCGAGGGGGCGAUGCUGGAAGAGGCUGCUGUGCUGCAGGCACCCUGCAGAGCUCCUGGGACUGCUGGAGCAGCACAGGCAGCCGCAGCCAUCGGUACCACCGGACUGGGAUGGCCACGAUUCACCACAGACGUGGGCUCAUCACCCACUGCCUCCAUGCUCACAGAGCCUUCCCAGAAGAAGCUCCAUCAGUACAUGAGCCUCAGAGCUCUGCGAGCCUGUGGCCCUCAGUGUAAGGAAACAAGGCCUCCUGCUAGCAGAGCUCUGCGCCCUGGCUGGGAGCAUUCUGCUCCCACAUGGCAGGCAAUCUGGCACUGCCCUCUCUUGGUGGGUUCUACAGAAUUUGAUGCUCUAGGCUCUACUUGUGCCCACCAUCAGGAGACACGAGGAGGACCAUGGGCUCACCAGCCCUGUCUACUGUCCUCACUAUUUAGAUAUGUUCUUUGCACCACUCCUGCAGACUGCAGCACCCUCACAUCUAAAAUUAGGACUGAAUGAGGCAGUGGCUUUGUGUUUUGCUAUCACGGGUGAUACAACGUUUCUCUGAACAGCUCUUCCCAACACAAAUGACAACUGUGUUGUACACUGUUAAAUCUGUCAUCAAAUUGCAAGUCUCAAAUGGUGCAAGUCAAAGAGAAUCAAAGGAGGGGAGUGAUUCUGUACAAUGCCCAGGGGAGCUGAGGGAGCCUUUCAAAUAAAAAAAGGUGUUUUUUCUGUCACUUUCAGCAGAAGGAAGCUCUCAAAAUUACUGAGUGCUUUCUCAUCCCACUCACUAUCUUCCCAGCUUCCCAAAUGUACACCAUAGGGCCACAGGAGCCUGGAAGCUGCUGUGAUGACAGCCCAGGCAUGCAGUGGCCACGGCUCGGAUGUGCUGCAACAGCACAGCCCCAUGCAGGGGCUCACCAAGAGUGUUCCCUGCUGCCCUCCGCUCACAUCUCCAUGCUCUAACCCUGCUGCUAACGAGGCCCAGCAGGUCCCUGAGCCUCCCAGGUUCAGGUGCUGUUCCCCUCUCGUGGGCACUGCUGUCACGCUCUGGGACAACUCCUACUGACACCUUCAGCUGUUGUGGGGCUGGAGCCACAAAGAAGCAAGGAGAGUCAUAUCAGUUUACCUCUGACUGUUAACACAACCAUUAAAUACCGUUUGCUACAUUAAGCUACAGUUCGUUGGGAACAAGUGCAGGUGCAGCCUUGCCCUCCCCCCAUGGCAUAUCACCUUCCUCAUCCCCCGCAGCCCCCGGUCCUGCAGACGAGGUCACUGCUGUGUCUGCCUACCUGCUCCCAGAUGCACAUAUUCAUACACUGCGUUUUCCAGCUGUGAUUAUUAUUUGCUGAAUAGUGAAUGAUCCAAAGGGCAAAGGGGGUUCUGCUGCUGUUUAAGGAGGAGCAGAGCAGACAAUUGGAGGGGAAGUGGGGAGCGACCAACGAUGGGGGAGGAGAGCGAGGGAGAGAAAGGCGCCCGGCUCCUUUAGCCCCAGACAGAACGCGAGAAACAAACUGCAGAAGGGAAAUAUUGUGAUGGAUAUCCACAGAGUCAAAGGAAGUCGAAGAAGUGGCAGGGCAGACUGCACUCGGAUCUGACUGCCUGGAAAAGUCCCCACGGCCCCCGCAGCCUGACCCUGCACCAGGCUUGCAGCACUGUGCAGAGGUUUGUCAACAUGCACUGCUUUAAAUGUGCCCAGAGAGCACCCACAGAAGUCAAUGACCUGGCACUAUCAGUGACAGUGACACAGGAGCCCAGCACGCAGCCAGCAACUCCGUGGCAAAUCCCUGCAGCCUUUGUGGGCUGCUAGCCCCAUAGCCCUGUACCCCAUAGCCCUGUUCCCCACAGCCCCCAUGCUGUGGUUUCUCCUCUCACGCUCACAGUCCCGUGUUGGCAGCAGCUUCAGGAGCAGCUGUCCUUGCUCCUAGCAAUGCCCUCCAGCAUCAGGAUACUACGUUCCUCAGCACUGUGAGCUAAAGCUGCUCAAGGAAACGUGAUGCAUGCCAGACUCGGGAUGCCUAAAGGGAGCUGACACUGCCGACACUGGGACUCAGAUGGGAAGAAUUCUUCCAACAAGGAAACCAAUUAAAAAACAUAACUCAUACUCGUACAUAGCUUAGAAGGUAUAAAAAUCAAAACUGAAAAUUGUCCUCAUCCCUAAAACAGAACACAUAAAAAAUAUUUACUUCUGUGCAACUCAAAGUUAAUUUAAAAAGGAAACGUUCUAAAGGUCACCUGGAUCUUUUGCAUGUAUCCAUACACCUGAAAGGCAAGGCAAUGGUUUCCAUGUGAGAUUUUAAAGUUUAUGGAUGUUUCUGACCUCAUUAAACCAGAGCUUCAUGGGAAAAGACAAACAGGGCAAUCGGAUCAGGUGAAGGAUGGUUUUGUACAUGGGCACAGGCUCUGCAUGGUGCCAGCAGCCCUGUGGGCCCAGGGGAAGGCUGAGGCUGCCCAGCACUGAGCUGCAGGGCCAUUCCACAGGGGCUGCUCACAAACCCGUUUGGUUGUGUCGCUCCCAACUGAAUCACUGCCACUGCUUUGUUGUGUUGUUCUUGAGCGAAUCUCUGCCACAUCACUUUCUCAGAGUUCCUGGAGAUAUAUCCCUAUAAGACAAGGAAGACUGCAGCUACACUGACUUAACCCCAGAGUGUAUCUAACAAAUAUAUCAGCUGCCAGUAGCUCCGUGUAAGUGCAGAGUUUUACUGCAGUCAUCGUAACAGGAUCUGUCACUACGGUGUCCUCUGGAUGUCAUUAAUAAAUAAUAUAUGAAACCACUCAGGAAGAGGGAGAAAAAAUAUUUCUCAUGUUUUCUGGAGCACACUGAGAGGUCAAUGGCAGUGACAGGGAAAGGAGAAGGUGAAGGGGAUGGGCUCAGGAAAUGGCAGCUUUGCAGUGUCCCAGAGGUGGGCAGAUGGAGCAGAACAUCCCAGGUGGCUCCGUCGUAUCUUAGAGUACGUAAACGACUGGCAUUCAGCUGUUUUUGCAGAUCUCUCUCCUAACCCCUGCUCUUUCUCAGCUGCUUUAUGCUCCCCCUUACUCACAAUAAGAAGGGAAGAAGGAAACUAAGCAGGCAGAGGAAUGUCCUUUUCCAAAAAAGAGCAGUGAGCUAUCCUCAAAACAGCCAUAGACAAUUAGCUGGGAGAGCCAAAACUCCCAACCCGAAGUACAGACAAGACAAACACAUGCUGUCCAUUGGAGAGAAACAGCCUCAUCAUCAUUUACCAAGCUAAUGUUUUUCCCUUGCGUGCCAAGCCAGCACAAGGGCAAGUGAGUCAGUUUUCACUGCCUGUACACUUCAGACUAUGGGAGACUCAGACCCAUCACCCAGCACUGCUGCUCAGCCCCAGCUCCCACCUCCAUCCCAGAGCCUCAGCCUCAGCCCCUGGAGUUUCGCUGCAGCCACUUUUCUGGUUUAAAAAGUACUUUCCUUUUGCAAUGUGCAGCCCACAUGCAGCCAUGUUCUCACUCCUCGUCCACAAAGCUCAAUGACUUGCUUUAGUUUGCUGCAGCCUACAAUGGGAUUUCAAAACUUGUCACACCUUUCCAAGAUCCUGAUCCUGUUCCUGCUCCCCACCUUCUGUUUUCCAGACCGAUCCCUAGGGAAGGCUGAAAUCCAAAUCUAUCUCCUGGGCAAUGACUCUCCAUCACUCUGUGGGUGCUCAGGCACAUCCCUGGAGCUCACUAGCACUCUGAAUGUCCUGCACUUGGUUGAGACAAAAAGUGGAGCA